rnacentral:snRNA from 1 species
ACUGCUUCUCGGCCUCUUGGCUGAGAUCAAGUGUAGUAUCUAGUCUCAUGGGUUUACUAUCUGAUAGGUUCUCUAUCAGAGGACAAUAUACUCAGUGAUUUUUGGAGCAGAAACUUGCUCCAUCCACUCCAUGCAUGGACUUAGUACUGCAGCACCUCCAGGAAUGGGUGCACCCCCU